rnacentral:rRNA from 1 species
AUUGAACGCUGGCGGCAGGCCUAACACAUGCAAGUCGAGCGGAUGAGGGAAGCUUGCUUCCCGAUUUAGCGGCGGACGGGUGAGUAAUGCCUAGGAAUCUGCCUAUUAGUGGGGGAUAACGUUCCGAAAGGAACGCUAAUACCGCAUACGUCCUACGGGAGAAAGUGGGGGAUCUUCGGACCUCACGCUAAUAGAUGAGCCUAGGUCGGAUUAGCUAGUUGGUGAGGUAACGGCUCACCAAGGCGACGAUCCGUAGCUGGUCUGAGAGGAUGAGCAGCCACACUGGAACUGAGACACGGUCCAGACUCCUACGGGAGGCAGCAGUGGGGAAUAUUGGACAAUGGGCGAAAGCCUGAUCCAGCCAUGCCGCGUGUGUGAAGAAGGUCUUCGGAUUGUAAAGCACUUUAAGUUUGGAGGAAGAGUUGUAAGCUAAUAUCUUGCAGCUUUGACGUUACCAACAGAAUAAGCACCGGCUAACUCUGUGCCAGCCGCCGCCGUAAGAC